CCUACGGGUGGCAGCAGUGGGGAAUAUUGGGCAAUGGGCGCAAGCCUGACCCAGCAACGCCGCGUGAAGGAAGAAGGCUUUCGGGUUGUAAACUUCUUUUGUCAGGGAAGAGUAGAAGACGGUACCUGACGAAUAAGCCACGGCUAACUACGUGCCAGCAGCCGCGGUAAUACGUAGGUGGCAAGCGUUGUCCGGAUUUACUGGGUGUAAAGGGCGUGUAGCCGGGUUGACAAGUCAGAUGUGAAAUCCUGCGGCUUAACCGCAGAACUGCAUUUGAAACUGUUGAUCUUGAGUACUGGAGAGGCAGAUGAAAUUCCGAGGGUAGCGGUGAAAUGCGUAGAUAUUAGGAGGAACACCAGGGGCGAGGGCGGUCUGCUGGACAGCAACUGACGGGGAGGCGAGAAAGCGGGGGGAGCAAACAGGAUUAGAUACCCCAGGAGUC
rnacentral:rRNA from 1 species